GGCCUGCCCACUGAGUUAUUAAAGGGCCGCGGUAUUUGGACCGUGCUAAGGUAGCAUAAUCAAUAGUCUUUUAAUUGGAGUCUAGAAUGAAAGGUCGGAUGGAGUAUAAUUUGUCUGCGAGUAUAAAAGUUGAACUUUACUUUUAAGUGAAAAGGCUUAAAUUAGUUAGUGGGACGAUAAGACCCUGUGAAGCUUUAUAUUUGUUUAACUUUAAUUUUUAAUAUUUGUGUGUUUAAAUUUAAAAUUAACAGAUAUUGUGUUGGGGCGACCGGAAUAUAUUUUUAACUGUUCUUGUUUGGUAAAUAAAUGAUUUUUAGAGAGUUGAUCCUUUAUUAAGGAUUAUAAGAUUUAAGUUACUCCAGGGAUAACAGCGUAAUUCUUUUUGAGAGUUCUUAUCGACAAAAGUAUUUGCGACCUCCAUGUUGAAUUAAGGUUUCAUUAAGAUGCAGGUGUCUUAA
rnacentral:rRNA from 1 species